rnacentral:rRNA from 1 species
AUACGGAGGAUCCGAGCGUUAUCCGGAUUUAUUGGGUUUAAAGGGUGCGUAGGUGGACAGGUCAGUCAGGGGUGAAAGUUUGCAGCUUAACUGUAAAAUUGCCUUUGAUACUGCUUGUCUUGAGUGCAAAUGAGGUAGGCGGAAUGCGUUGUGUAGCGGUGAAAUGCUUAGAUAUGACACAGAACUCCGAUUGCGAAGGCAGCUUACGUGCAUGCAACUGACACUGAGGCACGAAGGCGUGGGGAUCAAACAGGAUUAGAUACCCUGGUAGUCCACGCAGUAAACGAUGAAUACUAGCUGUUUGCGAUACAAUGUAAGCGGCUGAGCGAAAGCGUUAAGUAAUCCACCUGGGGAGUACGGUCGCAAGGUGGAAACUCAAAGGAAUUGACGUGG